CUCUGUAAAUGGGGAGCUAGUGGAAGGGGAAAUGGAGCCCCCUGGCACUCACAGAAAGCUGAUUACAGAAUGAGCCCGAACUGAGAGGCACCAUAUCCGCCCCCCUAAAGAGCCAGACUUCAGUGGUGAUACAGCCCAGCUGGGGUAGCAACAGGAUUGAGAACGAGGUAGGAAGUUCAGAGCAGCAAGGAAAGCCUGGAGGGGAACUUGAGAAGAGAGGUUGGAAAAGUGCAGCAAAGAGAAAGGUGCAGACCUAGCUGUUGGGUCCAGGGCCCUGAGCUGCUAUCAAUGUCAGGGUGGGACUGGGUUCCCCUACCGGCCCCAGAGGAGGCGGCGUACACGCACCUGGAGAGGGUUCCCAAGCCCAGCAAGGGGGCUACAGGCUGAGCAAGUGCCCCAGCGAUGGCAGAAGGACUUCUGUCUGUGGAAAGACCUCUUUGGACUUUUAGUGUGAGGCAAGCUGGGCCCCAGAAGGGUGGACUAAAGGUGGUGACCUGGCCGGAGUUACCAGGCAGAGAAACUGCCGUGGUGCUGGAGCGACCAUGGAUGGGGGACGCUAGCCCAGCGAGAGGGCUGUGAUGCCAUGCCUGGCCGCCGGGGGGCACCUAACGAUGAGUAGAUUCAUUUAUGAUUGGCAUAGUUGGCAGGAUUGAGUUCCCCCUGUGAUCCGUGAGGGAAGUCUUGGUUGCUGAAGGAAUCAUAGAAUAUCAGGGUUGGAAGGGACCUCCGGAGGUCAUCUAGUCCAACCCCCUGCUCAAAGCAGGACCAAUCCCCAGACAGUUUUUUGCCCUGAUCCCUAAAUGGCCCCCUCAAGGAUUGAGCUCACAACCCCGGGUUUAGCAGGCCAAUGCUCAAACCACUGAGCUAUCCCUCCCCCAAGCAGGUGUAUCAAGGGACCAAGCUGGUCGCUGGAUUUCCCACUUCAGUUCCAGGGACUGGCUAAGCAGCCAAAGCAGAUCUAGGGGUUUCUCCAGCAGCUCCUAGAAAACCAACAGACGCAGAAGGAAGUGCAGGUGGAGCUACAGACGCAGCAGCAGCAAUACCUGUGAGAGAUCCUGCAAAGGGAAAUCAACCCAGGGUCUGCUAUGCCCAUGGACAAAAAGAGCAGAGAAGGAGAGCAUGCCUGGGCUGUGCUGAGAAGGUUAGCCCAGGGAGAAGGGCAUGAGAAAGUGUACAAGCGUGGCCUAAUGCCAAGAUGGGAGCAAGAGUUCUUUGUUUUGGGGGCAGAGAAGCAGGCCAUAUCAAAAGACACGGCCUGCUUAGGAAAUUGCUGAGUGGCUGAACGAGGGGCCAGGGCCCUAAGAAGUUAGAAAGAAAGGAGAAGGUGUCCUCUGACACAAACCCCCAUGAGGCAGGCAAGGUGGAGGUGGCUGGGGUGGCCAUGGACCUUGCAGACCCUCCACCAACACACCCUGUCGGGUGCUGCAGGGAGAUGAAGGACGAAAUGAUUGGCCCAGAGAUGAAGCAGACUGGAGGAGGGACAAACACAAGGGUGGAGCAGUCCAUGGUGGGUUCUCAGACCCUGACCGAAAAGGUUUUGGCAUAUGCAGCGGCAGUAGCAAAAAGGCAACAGAAGACGCUAAAGGCUUCAGAAGAGGCUCUGCAAGCAGCUGUUCAUGAGACUGAGUGGCUGCAGGAAGAGCGUCGGGAUACUGCAGAAGAGAAGGUUUGCCCCGAGCGAGCUGGCAGUGGAGCUGCAGACACUGCGCACAGGCUGUACAAGCGCGCAGCCGGUGACAGCGAUGAGAUGAGGAGGGAUGAAGCUUGGAGAAGAAUAGAACUUGCCCCCGCGUGGGCCAGGUUCUAAGGAGGAGGGUAUAUAACGGGGGGCUUGGCCUGUGGGCUAUAAAGCCUGGAGCUAGGCCAAAUGGAUUACAGAGUGAGCUCCAGCUGAGGGGAAACCAGGGGAAACCGCAACAAAGGUACAGGAGCAGGCCUAGCUGUUCGGUACAGGGCCUUGGGGCAGAACCUAGAAUCCAGGGUAGGACUGGUUCUCCCACGGUCUCUAAGGAAGGGGAUGUACAGGGCCAUAGAAAGGGCUACCAAGGCCAGCAAGGGCAGGCCGAGCCAAAGUCAGGCUGAGGAAAAGCCCCCAAGGGACAGAGGAUCUUGUUUCAGUUAAAGACAUUUUUUGACUUUUCGUUUGGGAUGAGCGCGACCCAGGAAGGAGUGGACUAAAAGAUGGUCGCCUGGCCCAAGGGCUGAGUUCCCAGCCAAAAACCUGCUGGCGGGCGUGCUAGCCCAAGAAAUCUGUGACCCCAGGCCUUGAAGGAAGGGGCACCUAUCGGUGAGUGAACUCUGUUACAAGCCUGCUUCCAUUGUGGAAACAGCCUGGUAUUGGAGAGUGGUGGGGAUGGCCUGUGGGCGAGGAUGGCUGGAGGGGUCAUACAGGAGGGGCAGCAGCGUCCAGUGAGGAGAUCAGGGAACGGGUUGUUUGCAGUCCUGCCACUGAGCGGUAACGUGAUCCUGGCCAGGUCACUCUCCCACCUGGUGCCUCACUUUCUCUAUCUUUGAAAUGGGGAUCAUCCCGACCCACAUUAAGAAAGGGUUUGAUCCUCUGCUCUUGCUUCCCAAAUCCCUGCCCUCCUUGCCCCACACAGGCCUCUGCCCUGUUGCUCAAACUCCCAUGCACAUGUUAGUGCCUGUGUCACCCCCGCAACUGCAAGGUCUCAUGUACAGUCUCCUGCCAGCAAACUGAAGCUGCCACUAGAUCCAGAAUAGGAAUCGCAGUUCCUGUGCGCUGCCCUGAAUGGAGUCUAGACCCUGGGCAUGGGGAAGGCCAACGCUCACAUCCAGGUAGAUCAUCAACCUACUCCUCUGUCCCAGGAGCAGGAAGGCCUCUGGUUCGUGCUCCCUUCGGUAGCUGGAGCUGCUGAGUUGGGAGUGUGGUGGGCAGAGAUGGGAACAGGCCAUAGGAUGAAUCAAGUGUCAGGGGGAGACUCCCUGUGUGUGGGAGAUGAUGUUGCCCCUCUGUGGGGAAUCCCUUCCUUGCAGAUGCUGGGCUUUGGGUGCUGGACUCUGCCAGGAAGCCCAGCUCCCAUCCCUAGCAGCUUGGCUGUUCCCUACACUGCUGUGCACCAGGCCCUCUGCAGAGAGCUGCUCUGGGCAAGGACUACAGAGCCUGCUGUCAUCCUGGCAGGUGUCACCCCAGGUUCCAUAAUCCUGACCCCUGGUCUCCCUCCGCUGGCAGGCUCUGAGCAAGGCCUGCCCAGAGAACAUGGAUGACGAGCUCUCGAUCCUGCUGACAGCACCCCCCAGCACAGACAAACUCCAGCACAUCUUGGAGGGUGGGAAACCGAGACACAGUUGGGACCUGUCUACACUACAGGUCUGUCGUGCGUUUGUAAUCUGCUGACCCCCACAUGUUGUUCAGAGCCUAUGGACAACACAGCUCCUAAAG